rnacentral:rRNA from 1 species
CCUACGGGAGGCAGCAGUGAGGAAUAUUGGUCAAUGGGCGGGAGCCUGAACCAGCCAAGUCGCGUGAGGGAAGACGGUCCUAUGGAUUGUAAACCUCUUUAGGCGGGGAGCAAUGCCGGGCACGCGUGCCCGGAGGGAGAGUACCCGCAGAAUAAGCAUCGGCUAACUCCGUGCCAGCAGCCGCGGUAAUACGGAGGAUGCGAGCGUUAUCCGGUGUUAUUGGGUGUAAAGGGUGCGUAGGCGGAUUUUUAAGUCAGCGGUAAAAUGUCCGGGCUCAACCCGGGCCGGCCGUUGAAACGGGGGAUCUUGAGUGGGCGAGAAGUAUGCGGAAUGCGUGGUGUAGCGGUGAAAUGCAUAGAUAUCACGCAGAACUCCGAUUGCGAAGGCAGCAUACCGGCGCCCGACUGACGCUGAGGCACGAAAGCGUGGGGAUCGAACAGGAUUAGAUACCCGAGUAGUC